GAUCAUGGCCAACACUUAGGGGAUGCUGUUGUCUGACACAUCAUACUAAUCCACCCCUUUGCUUUCCAAGGGCUUUUCUGGAAGGGUAUAUUUCUUAAGCUAAGCCAGAGCUACCACUUGUUACAUGACCCAGAAUAGGCACGUCAAGGAUCUGAUGAUCCUCUACCAUCAGGAAAUCCAGCACGUGAUUUCAUGCACUGGAAAUUAAAAGUUAAGAGAUCUGGAAGAGUCUAAACGAGUAGAACUCAGAAAGACCCCUGCAGUGAAUAGAUAGGCAAGAAAUGACUUUCCUGGAGCAUAUUUCAUCUCCCAUUAAUGGAAAUGAGGCAGUGCUCUACUGUGUAAUCUUUUGUAUUUCCCCUGUACACCCAGUUUGAUGGGUAUCUCAGUGAUCAGUUUAGCUAGUGAGCAAUUAAAGACUAAUUUAUAUCUUCACAUGAGAUUAAAAUGUUGGAUGGAUUAAUUUUUGAAAGCUGUUACCUUUCAUGGAAGACAACAUUAACUGAUUGGACAUACACACAGCAUUUCUACUUACUGAGAGAGGAGCUGCCAUGAAACUCAAGAAAAUCUCUGCUUCACUCAGCACACUUAUCCCAGGUGAUAAAUGCUUUCAUCAGCUCCUCUAGGUAAAGAUAAUGGCUGUUGCAUGGCUUCAUUCCAGUGAAACCCUAGCUACCACAGAACAUAGAGUUUAUUAUACACAUAAGUUUCAGUGAAGCAAUUUUCAUGCUGACCUGCAUUAAAUAUAUUGAUUCAGGUAUACAUGGCAGCACAAGGAAUAGAGCUUCUCUUCAUGCAUGCCUAUGUUGUCUUAAAGAGCAGGGAAUCAACCAUCAACACUGGGAUUGAGGGCUGAAAAGGCCGCUUGUUUUGUCAACGAAGCAAGAAGAGGAAGAAGGAGGAGAGGAGGAAGAAGAAGAAGAGAAAGAAAGGCUAAGCAGUUUCAGACCAUCUUGGUGCCUGGAUGAAAGAUGUUCCCUCUGAGUCAGCAGCGUGCUGUUCCAGCAUUUUGCAAGGGGUUUUCUCCUAUUGGCAAAGCCAGAUAUGGUCAUAAAUUAUCCAAGUCUUUAAAGGGACAACACUUUGGUCCACAAUGGAAAUUUCUUUCCAGGCCACCUUGGUUCAAGAGCAUGUGACAUCAAAUCUGAGUCCCCGAGCUCAUCUCGCAGCUCGUCUGCCCCCAUCUUCUGCUCCAUCCAUGUUGCUCACAACCAGAUUGUCAACCAGUGAUGCUUACACUUAGGCAGCUGGGCUGAGACUGAGAUGUGUCUCACGAUGAAGGAUAAUCAGCUGGGAGGUGAUACAUCAUAUUGGAGACUCCCAAAUCCUGGCCCCUGAAGGAUGCUUUGAUUUAAAUCAGCUUCUUACAGCUGUUCAUAGGUCAUUGAGAUGUGAAAGAGACAGAGUGAUCAUUCCAUUACCUUUUCCCAUCUUGCCUCUUUAAACAAAAUGACAACCAAAGGUAACAGUUCUAGCUCAAAAAGCCUCACAACAUCAGCUCUUUGGAGGUUAUGUUGAGGAAUUUUCACUUCCUGAUUCCCUCCACUGUAAGCAUUUGCAGUGUUGCAGAUAGGGUGCUGGGCCGGACCGAACUUUCCUCUGCUAUGAUCUUUCUUAUCUCCUGACAUAAAGACUUUCUUACACAUUCCCUCAAGCCUCCCAAAUGUGCUGCACAGGGAGAUGUGAUAAAGGUAAAUUUUGCUGCAGGAAAGUUUAGGGACAGCACACCUUGUCCCAGGCAGGUCUGCUGUCUUGCAGACAGGGUUCAGGAAGUCAUGGAAAUGCCUCCAGGUGCAUUUCUUUAGGAGAGUAUGGGAGAAGUUGCAGAUCUACACCUGCAGUUAUUAAUACCAACUACAUUUCAAUUUCCAUUUAAUGGGGAAGGAAACACCCUGCUGUCACUCAGCUUUGCCUUUGAUUAGCUUUUUCUUUAAAAGAUAAAUAAGUGGAAAUACUAGGUAGCCAAUGUGAAGAAAAUGAUAAAACAUCCUGAAAAAUCAAAUGCAUCAAAGUGUCAUCCCUUCACAUUCCUUUCCAUGGGCAC
rnacentral:lncRNA from 1 species